ACGGCUCACCAUGGCGACGAUUGGUAGCCGGACUGAGAGGUUGAACGGCCACAUUGGGACUGAGACACGGCCCAGACUCCUACGGGAGGCAGCAGUGGGGAAUAUUGCACAAUGGAGGAAACCCUGAUGCAGCGACGCCGCGUGGAGGAAGAAGGUCUUCGGAUUGUAAACUCCUGUCCCAGGGGACGAUAAUGACGGUACCCUGGGAGGAAGCACCGGCUAACUAC
rnacentral:rRNA from 1 species